rnacentral:rRNA from 1 species
AUGUCUACAACAUCAGGCUAUAUUGCAGUUCCUUGUUGUCCGGUGAUUUUUGAUGGCACCAACUACAUCGAGUUCGUUGCCUUCAUGCGCAUUCAUAUGCGUGGCAUUUGUCUGUGGGCCGUUCUUCCUGGCGAGGUCCGUUGUCCGCCGUGCCCGGUUCCUCCUGUGGCCCCUACUUUGUCGACACCACCGGUUGUUGCUGCGGAUGCUACUCAGGCUGUGAAGGAUGUAGCUAAGCUUGUUGAUGAUGCCGCCGUUCGUGCUUAUGAUGAGCAGGUUUUGACUUAUGAGGAGGCUCUUCACACGUAUCACGAGGCUUUGUCUGCUUAUACUCAGUGGCUUGUUGAUGAUGCUCGUGCCCCAGCUAUUCUCACUGCUAGCGUUCUGCCUCAGUUUGUCUCUGAGUUCUUGGGCCUCCCUACCGUAUUUGAGAUGUGGAUCCGUCUUCGUCAGCGCUACCAGCCCUCUCGUGAUGCCUUGUACCUAUUUGUGGUCCGCCAGGAGCAUGCUCUUCAGCAGGGUGACUCCACUGUUGAUGAUUUCUAUGCACAGAGUUUUGCUAUCUGGCGUCAGCUUGAUUCUCUUCGCAGUGCUGGUUGUCGUAUUUGCCAGUGUUGCCACUGCUGGUUUGGAGUUUCAUCGUGUCUACGAGUUCUUAUCUUGGCUCCGUAA